rnacentral:rRNA from 1 species
GCCUUGUAAUGGUUCUUUACAUAACAAGCGCCAGGGAAUUACGAGCAUAAGCUUAAAAUCCAAAGGAUUUGACGGUGUCCCACCCACCUAGAGGAGCCUGUUCUAUAAUCGAUAAUCCUCGAUAUACCCAACCAUUUCUUGCUUUUCAGCCUGUAUACCUCCGUCGCAAGCUUACCAUUUGAAUGUAAAAGAGUAAGUUUAAGGAUUCCCCAUCAAUACGUCAGGUCAAGGUGCAGCCAAUGUAAUGGAAAGUAAUGGGCUACAAUUUCUAUAAUAGAACAAACGAAACACUGCAUGAAAAACAGUCAUGAAGGCGGAUUUAGUAGUAAAAGGAGAAUAGAGAGCUCCUUUUAACAAGGCCCUGGGACGUGUACAAACCGCCCGUCACCCUCUUCAGCGGCGUAAAAUUUAAGUUUUUAACCCAACAAAAGAAAUCAGAAGAGGCAAGUCGUAACAUGGUAAGUGUACUGGAAAGUGCACUUGGUUAAC